rnacentral:rRNA from 1 species
UACCCGCAGCACAAGUGGUGGUCAUUAUUAUUGGGCCUAAAGCGUCCGUAGCUUGCGUGUUAGAUGCCUGGGUAAAUCGAUGGGCUUAACCCAUCGAAUUCCGGGUAGACCGGCACGCUCGAGACCGGGAGAGGUGUAGGGUACUCGGGGGGUAGGGGUAAAAUCCUGUAAUCCUCCGGGGACGACCAGUGGCGAAGGCGCUACACUAGAACGGCUCUGACAGUGAGGGACGAAGCCCUGGGGCGCAAACAGG